AUGUAUAUAUACUGAUAUGUGUGUACGUGUAAAGGGCAUAGUUGUAUAUAUACAGUGCAUUAUAUGACCCUAAUAUGUACAUUUCUAUAUAUACAUUGAUGUAUAUGACCAUAUAUACACUUAUUAUCAGUUUAUACAGUUAGUAACUUAUAUGUACACUGUUUUAUAUACUACACACACUCACACUCACACUCACACUCACUCACACACAUACUCACAUUCACGCCCACGCCCAUGCCCACGCCCACUCCCACGCUCACGCUCACGCUCACACUCACACUCACACUCACAUUCACAUGCACACUCACACUCGCACUCACUCACAUACACUCACACUUACACACACUUACACACACACACACACUCACACUCACAUUCACACUCAGAUAUUUAUACUACACAUAUAUGCAUGUUGUGUAUGGACUAUUGUGUGUAUAUAUACGAUAUGUAUAUACUGAUAUGUUUAUGCGUGUAUGUAUACAGUUGCUUGUUAUCAGUUGUAUAUAAUUAUCAUUAUAUAUAUACUGAUAUGUGCACACUUAUGCAGCUUUACAACUUGAUAAGUGCAUAUAUAAUGUGUAUGCAUACACUUAUACAUGCAUUCUAUAUACAUUGAUAUAUAUGACCAUAUAGACAUAUAUUAACAGGUUAUCUAUAUAUAUAUAUACAGUGUGUAUAUAUACGAUAUGUAUAUAUUGAUAUGUUUAUGCAUGUAUGUAUAAACUUGCUAUCAGUUAUAUAUACACUGAUAUGCGUACGCACAUGCACCCUUACGCAUUGAUUGCGCAUAUAUACAUUUUUAUGUACGUAUAGACCAUAUAUACACUUUUUAACAGUUUCUAUUGUUAUUAGCGUAGAUGUACAUUGAUAUGUAUAUGAAUGCACAGGUGGCUGUUGCAGCCAAUAAGGUUGAACUUAUCCCUCCCUUUCUUUUUUGAUUAUUUUCCUCUCCAUUCUUUUCAUUCGAAUCAUUAUCUUCCAUGUGAAUGAUUUUUCCGUAUACAAUUUUCCAAACUGUGAUAAAUUCAAGCCUUCAAGGAGAUUAUUUCUUUUGGCUAUCUCCUCUAAUCAGAUAAGCCUUGGUGAAAUUUGAUAUUGCUUUGUAUAGAAUUAGGCAUAAAAAUGGGUUUCUUCUCUUGAUGAAUUGGGUAUGCUAAAUACCCAAUUGUGAUAGUGCAUCUAAAUUUUUUGUCUUAUUUGUACUUGUUUCUAUUAUUAUUGAUGAGCUUCAUCUUCAUCGAGUUUUCUUGUAAAGCAACAAGCAUGAAAGCAACUUAUCAUCGGGGUGGAUCUCUUUACGUUAUUCGAUAUUUGAGAUUUGAUCUUGCAAGCUGGAUUUGAUUAAUGGUUCUUUCUUCACUAGUAUAAUAUUUCUCUUGCUUCUUUCAUGCAAAAAUGAAGUGAAUUUUUUGAAACUUUACUUGUGGUUUGCAAUUUUUUAAGUAACUUUUUCUUAACACACACACACUCUUGCUUAACCCACACACACUCUUGCUUCUUUCAUGCAAAUAUGGAAUGAAUUUUUUGGAGUAUUACUUGUGGUUUUCAAUUUCAUUAAGUAACUUUUUCUUAACACACACACCACAUACACACACACAUUCUCACACACACACACACACUCAUACUCACACUCACACUCACACUCACACACACACACUCACACAUGCUCACGCUCACACACGCUCAUGCUCACACUCACACACUCACUGACACACACUUUCACACCCACACAGUCACACACAUUAACACACACUCACACUCACACUCACACUCACACUCCGAUAUAUAAUGCACUUAUAUGAGUGUUGUGUAUGGACUGAUGUGUGUGUAUAUAUGAUGAUAUGUUUUUGCAUGUAUGUAUAUAAUUGUUUGCUAUCAGUUAUAUACAAUUGUCAAUGUAUGUAUACACUGAUACGUGUAUGUACAUGCACCCUUACGUGUUGAUAAGUGCAUAUAUACUGUGUAUAUUUACACUAAUACAUGCAUGUUAUAUACUCUGAUAUAUAUAACCAUAUAGACACUUCUUAGCACUUUACAUAUAUAUACAAUGUGCAUAUUUACGACAUGUAUAUAUUGAUAUGUUUAUGCGUGUAUCUAUAAACUUCCUAUGAGUUAUAUGUAUAUUGAUAUCUGCAGGCACAUGCACCCUUACGUAUUGAUAAUGCAUAUACAUUUCUAUAUACACUGAUAUAUAUGCCCAUAUGGAUACUUCUUAUCAGUUUAUACAGUUAUUGGUGUUUAUGUACACUGAUAUGUAUAUACUCUCACACUCAUAUGCAUAUGUAUAAUGGGUUUAUAUAUGCACUAAUAUAUAAAGCCCAUGUAUAUACAUACGUAUUAUCUUUGAUAUAUAUACAUUUAUUAGCUCAAUUUGUGUAUGUAUUGAUGUAUAUCAAUAUAUACCAUUCUUUUCAGAGUAUAUAUAUAUAUUGCUGCAUAUAACCAUACAAUACAUUAGUUAUCAGCUAUAUAUGUAGUUAUUAGUGUGCAAAAUUACAUUGAUAUGUGUGUGUGAUGUCUGUAUAUAUACGAUGUGUAUAUACGGAUUUGUGUGAAUGUGUAAAGUGCAUAAAUGUAUAUAUACAGUGCAUUAAUAUAUACAUUUAUAUAUACACUGCAUUAAUAUAUAUAUAUAUACAUUGAUGUAUAUGACCAUAUAUAUUCAUUAUUAGUUUAUACCUUUAUUAACGUAUAUGUAUAUUAAUUUAUAUACUACACACACACGCACUCACACUCACACUCACUCUCAUCCUCACACUCACACUCACACUCACUCACUCAUACACACACACACUCAGACCCACACACUUACACUCGCACUCGCCCUCGCACUGACAUCGACAUCGACAUCGACACCGACACCGACACCGACACCGACACCGACACCGACACCGACACCGACACCGACACCGACACCGACACUCUCACUCUCACUCUCACUCUCACUCUCACUCUCACUCACACUGACAUGCACAUUCACACUCACACUCACUCACACUCACACUCACACUGACAAAUAUAUAUACUAUAACCUGUAAUUUGAUUAGCCUUGGCGAAAUUCCUUAUUACUUUGUAUAGAAUUAAGCAUAAGAAUGGGUUUCUUCUCUUGAUGAAUUGGGUAUGCUAAAUACCCUAUUGUGAUAGUCCAUGUAAAUUUUUUAUCUUAUUUGUACUUGUUUUUAUUAUUAUUGAUGAGCUUCAUCUUCAUUGAGUUUUCUUGUAAAUCAACAAGCAUGAAAGCAAUUUAUCAUCAAGGCGGAUCUCUUUACGUUAGUCGAUAUUUGAGAUCUUAAUCUUGCAAGCUUGAUUUGCUUAAUGGUUCUUUUUCUGUAGUAUAGCACUGCUCUUGCUUCUUUCAUGCAAAUAUGGAGUGAUAUAUUACUGCUUUUGCUUCUUUCACACUCACACUCACACUCACACUGACAGAUAUAUAUACUAUCACCUGUAAUUUGAUUAGCCUUGGCGCAAUUCCUUAUUACUUUGUGUAAAAUUAGGCAUAAGAAUGGGUUUCUUUUCUUGGUGAAUUGGGUAUGCUAAAUACCCUAUUGUGAUAGUCCAUGUAAAUUUUUUAUCUUAUUUGUACUUGUUUUCAUUAUUAUUGAUGAGCUUCAUCUUCAUUGGGUUUUCUUGUAAAUCAACAAGCAUGAAAGUAACUUAUCAUAGAGGUGGAUCUCUUGACGUUAUUCAAUAUUUGAGAUCUUGAUAUUGCAAGCUUGAUCGUCUUGAUGGUUCUUUCUUCUCUAUUAUAGUCUGCUUUUGCUUCUUUCAUGCAAAUAUGGAGUGAAAUUUCUGGAGCUUUACUUGUGGUUUGCAAUUUUAUUAACUUUUUCUUAACACACACUUUUGCUUCAUCCAUACAAAUAUGGAGUGAAUUUUAUGGAGCUUGACUUGUGGUUUGCAAUUUUAUUAACUUUUUCUUUUUACAUACACACCACACACAUACUCACACUCACACUCACACUCACACUCACACUCACACUCACACUCACACUCACACUCACACUAAUGUAUAAGACCAUGUAUAUACUUAUUAUCAGUGAUAUAUGCAGUUAUUAGCUCUAUAUGUUUACGUGUUGAUGUAUAUAAGCAUAGAAUACAUUAGUUAUCGGCUAUAUGUACAGUUACUAGUGUGUAAAAGUACAUUGAUAUGUGUGUGUGAUGUCUGUAUAUAUACGAAGUGUAUGUAUGGAUUUCUGUUUACGUGUAAAUAAUUGUAUUUAUACAAUGCAUUUAAUGUUUAUAUUUCUAUAUACAUUGAUGUAUAUGACUGUAUAUACAUUUAUUAUUAGUUUAUAAAUUUAUUAACGUAUAUGUACACUGUUUUAUAUAGUGUAAUCAAUUGUAUAUAUACAAUGCAUUUAAUGUUUAUAUUUCUAUAUACAUUGAUGUAUAUGACCAUAUAUACACUUAUUAUUAGUUUAUAAAUUUAUUAACGUAUAUGUACACUGAUUUAUAUACUACACACACUCUCACACUCACUCACACUCACACUCGCACAUUUGUUAUCAACUACAUAUAUAGUUAUUAGUGUGUAAAAAUAAUAUUGAUGUGUGUGUGCGAUGCUGUAUAGAUGCGAUGAGUCUAUAUUGAUACGUUUGUGUGUAUAGUGCAUAGUGUGUAAGUUGCAUAAUUGUAUAUAUACAUUUAUUAGUGUGUUAAAAUAUUUACAUUUCUAUAUACAUUGAUUUAUAUGACCAUAUAUAUACUUAUUAUCAGUUUAUACAGUUAGUAACCUAUAUGUUCACUGAUUUAUAUACUACACACAUAUAUAGACACAAACACACACACACACUCAACACUCACACUCACACGGACACUAACAUUGACAUUGACACUGACACAAACAGAUAUGUAUACUACACAUAUGCGUGGUGUGUAUGGACUGAUGUGUGUAUAUUUACGAUAUGUAUAUGCAUAUGUUUUUGCGUAUAUGUAUACAGUUGCUUGCUUUCAGUUAUAUACAAUUAUCGAUGUAUAUAUGCACUGUUAUGCGUACGCACAUGUACCCUAACGCGUGGAUAAGUGCAUAUAUGAUGUGUAUGUAUACACUAAUACAUGCAUUCUAUAUACACUGAUAUAUUUGACCAUAUUGACUAUUAUUAGUAGUUUAUAUGUAUAUACAGUGUGCGUUAAAUAUGUAUUUAUUGAUAUGUUUAUGUAUAUGUAUAACCUUGCUAUCAGUUAUAUAUGCACUAAUAUGCGACACACAUGGGCACCGAUGCACUAAUAUGCGACACACAUGGGCACCCUCACGCAUUGAUAGUGCAUACAUUCAUUUAUGUAUACACUGAUAUAUAUGACCAUAUAUAACACUUAUUAUCAGUUUAUACAGUUAUUAGUGUAUAUGUACAAUGAAAUGUAUAUACGCACAUUCAUAUGCAUAUGUAUAAAGGGUUUAUAUGUACAUUUAUGUAAAAGACCAUGUAUAUACUUAUUAUCAGUGAUAUAUACAGUUAUUCGCUCAAUUUGUGUACGAAUUGAUGUAUAGCAAUAUAGACCAUUGUUUUCAGUAUAUAUGUAUACAUACUGAUGCAUAUAACCAUACAAUACAUUAGUUCUCUGCUAUAUAUAUAGUUAUUAGUGUAUAAAAAAUACAUUGAUAUGUGUGUAUAUAUGCUUGUGUUGUUUGUAUCUAUACACUGUGUAUAUACUGAUAUGUGUAUGUUUAAAGUGCGUAACUGUAUAUAUACAGUACAUUAAUAUAUACAUUAGUAUAUAUGAUGAUAUAUACAGUAUUUAUCAGUUUAUACAGUUAUUAACAUAUAUGUAUACUACACACACACUCGCACUUACUCACCCACACACACACACUGGCACUUACACUCACACUCACACUCAGAUUUAUAUACUGCAGAUAUUUGCAUGUUAUAUAUGGACUGAUAUGUGUGUAUAUGCGAUAUGUAUAUACUAAUAUGUUUAUAAGAGUAUGUAUACAGUUGCUUGCUAUCAGUUAUAUACAAUUAUCAAGGUAUUUAUAAAUACUGAUAUGCGCACGUACAUACACGCUUACGUAUUGGUAGUGCAUACAUACAUUUAUAUAUACACUGAUAUCGAUGAUCAUAUAGACAUUUAUAUCAGUUUAUACAGUUAUUAGUGUAUAUAUACUGACCUCACACACACAUAUAAAUGUAUCUUUUACACGAUAAUAAUUGUAUAUAUAACUAAUAAUUAAUGUAGUGUAUGGUUAUAUGCAUCAGUAUAUAUAUAUUCACUUAAUACAAUGGUAUAUAUUUCUAUAAAUCAAUACGUAUACAAAUUAUGCUAAUAACUGUGCUAAGACCGUGUAUAAUAAGUGUAUACACGGUCUUAUACAUUAGUGUAUUUAGAAAUACUUUAUAAAUGUAGGUACAAAUUCGUAGGGGCGCAUGUGCAUGCACAUAUCAGUGUGUACAACUAAUAGCAAGUGUAUAUAUAUAUAUAUAUAUAUAUAUAUACAUAUAUAUAUAUAGAUAAACUGCUAAUAAGUGUCUUUAUGGUCAUAUAUAUCGGUGUAUAUAAAAUGUAUGUAUUAGUUACACAUACACUGUAUAUAUACACUUAUCAACACGUGAGGGUGUAUGCAUGUAUGCAUAUCAAUAUAUAUAUAUAUAUAUAAUAUUGUAUAUAAUUGAUAACAAGGAAUUAUAUAUAUACACGCAUAAACACAUCAUUAUAUACAUAUCGUAUAAAUGUACACAUCAGUCCCAACACCACAUAUAUAUGUGUAGUGUUAUGCACUGUAUAUAUGUAGUAUUUUAAUGAUCAUAUACAUUGACAAUUGCGUAAAACUGAUAGCAAGCAAGUGUAUAUAUACACGCAUAAACAUAUCGUAUGCAUUAAUCCAUACACAACAUGCAUGUCUGUCCGUGUUGUAUAUAAAUCCAUAUACAUAUAUGAUAUUAAUUAUAUAAACUGAUAAUCAGUGAUAUAUGCGCUGAUAUGUGCACACACAUGCACCCUUAUGCAUUGAUAAGUUCAUACAUACAUUUUUAUAUACACUGAUAUAUAUAACUUUAUACACAUUCGUUAUCAUUUUAUACAGUUAUUAACGUAUAUGUACAUUGAUAUAUAUAUAUACGCAUACUUAUAUGCAUAUAUAUAAAGUGUUUAUUUAUACACUAAUGUAUAAGCUCAUGACUUACUUAGUCUCUGUGAUAUAUAUAGUUAUUAGCACAAUUUGUAUACAUAUUGAUGUAUAGCAAUGUAUAUCAUUAUUUUCAGUGUAUGUACUGAUGCAUAUAACCAUUUUAUACAUUAAUAUUAGCUAUAUAUAUAAUUAUUGUGUAAAAAAUACAUUGAUGUGUAUGUGUAUGUGAUGUUUGUAUAUAUGUACGAUGUGUAUAUACUGAUACGUGUGUGUAAAGUGCAUAACUACAUAUAUAAAGUGCACUUAUAUAAACAUUUCUAUAUACAUUGAUGUAUAUAGCCAUAUAUACAUUUAUUAUCAAUUUAUACAGUUAUUAACGUAUAUGUUCAUUGAUUUACACACAAACACAUAUAAAUAUAUAAAUAUACUACUCAUAUAUACGUGUUGUGUAUGGAAUAAUGUGAGUAUAUAUAUGAUAAGUAUAUACUGAUAUGUUUUGCAUGUACGUAUACACUUGCUUGCAAUCUCUUAUAUACAUAUACUGAUACGCACGUACAUGCACCAUUACGUGUUGAUGUGUGUAUAUAUACACUGAUAUACGCACGUACAUGCACCAUUACGCAUUGAUGUGUGUAUAUAUAUAUCUCUCUAUAUAUAUAUAUAUAUAUUGUGUAUACAUUAAUACAUGCAUUCUAUAUACAUAAAUGGUCUUUUACAUUAGUGUAUGUAUAAACACUUUAUACAUAUCCAUAUAUACAUAUCAGUGUACUCAUACAUUUGAACUUAGCAAUGCAUAAGGGUUCAUUUGCCACAUAUCAACGUAUAUAUAACUGAUAGCAAAUGUAUAUAUACACACAAACAUAUCAGUACAUACAUGUCCUAUAUAUAUACACUAUAUAUAUACUGCUAAUAAGUAUCUAUAUGAUCAUAUAUAUCAGUGUAUAUAGAAUGUAUGCAUUGGUAUACUACAUGCACAAUAUAUAUGCACUUAACAACGCGUGAGGGUGCAUCUGUAUGCGUAUAUCCUGUGUAUAUAUACAUUAAUAACACACAUUUAUGUGUAGUAUAUAUAUAUGUUAUGUGUGUGUAUAAGCUGAUAGUAUGUGUAUGUAUGGUCAUAUACAUGAAUGUGUAUAUGAAUGUAUGUAAUUUGCUCUAUAUUUAUACAGUUAUGCACUUUAUACAUACACAUAUUUCAGUAUAUACACUUCAUGUAUAUAUACAAACAUCACUCACACAUAUCAAUGUAUUUUUUACACACUAACAAGUGUAUAUAUAGCUGAUAACUAAAGUAUUGUAUGGUUAUAUGCAUCAGAAUUUAUAUAUAUAUAUAAAUAUUCUUUGAAAACAAUAGUAUAUGUUUUUAUAAAUCAAUACAUAUACAAAUAGUUCUAAUAACUAUAUAUAUCACUGAUAAUAAGUAUAUUACAUGGUCUUAUACAUUAUUGUACAUAUAUACAUGUGCAUAUCAGUGUGCCUUCAUGUCAGUAGUGUAGAUAUACGCUAAUAACUGUAUGAACUGAUAAUAGGUGCUUAUAUGAUCGUAUAUAGCAUUUAGUGUAUAUUGAAAUGUAUUAUGCACUACCAAUGCAUAAGGGUGCAUAUGCAUGUGCAUAUCAAUGUAUAUAUAACAGAUAGCAGGUAUAUACAUACACACAUAAACAUAUCAGUAUAUACAUAUCUUAGAUAUUACACACUGUAUAUACUUAUAUAAACUGUUAAUAAGUGUCUUUAUGGUCAUAUAUAUCAGUAUAUAUAGACUGCAUGUAUUAGUGUGGACUUACACAAUUUAUAUGCACUUAUCAACGUGUAAGGGUGCAUGUGCGUGCGUAUAUCAAUGUAUAUGUACAUUAAUUAUUGUAUAUAACUGAUAGUAAGCAAUUGUAUGCAUACAUGCAUAAACAUAUCAGUAUAUUCAUAUCGUAAAUAUACAUACAAGAGUAAUAUACACAACACGCAUAUAUGUGUAGUUUAUAUAAAUAUAUAUAUGUAUGUGUAUGUGAGUGGGUGUGUUUAGUAUAUAAAUUAGUGUACAUAUACGCUAAUAACUGUAUAAAUUGAUAAUAAGUAUUUAUAUUAAUCAUAUACAUCAAUGUAUAGAAAUAUAUAUAUUAGUGCAUUGUGUAUAUGCAGUUAUGAACUUUACAUAUGCAUACAUCAAUAUAUAUAUAUCGUAUAUAUGCAGACAUCACAUACACAUAUCAUUGUAUUUUUUACACGUGUAUGUUUAGCUUAUAACUAAUUUAUUGUAUGGUUAUAUGUAUCAAUGUAUAUAUAUACAAUGAAAACAAUGGUAUGUAUUGCUAUUCAUCAAUAUGUACGUAAAUUAUUUUAAUAAUUGUAUAUCACUGAUAAUAAAUAUAUACAUAGUCUUAUAAAUUAGUGUAUUUAUAAACACAUUAUACAUAUGCUUAUGAGUGUGCGUAUAUACAUAUUAGUGUACAUAUACUGAUAAUAAGAGUCUAUAUGGUCAUAUAUAUCAGUUAUAUGGAAAUAUAUGUAUGAACUUAUCAAUGUAUAAGGGUGUAUGUGCGUGCGCAUAUCAGGAUAUAUAUAACUGAUGGCAAGUGUAUACAUAUACUCAUAAACAUAUCAGUAUAUACAUAUCAUAUAUAUAAACACUGUAUUAUAUGUAAAUUGUUGAUAAGUGUCUUUAUAGUCAUAUAUAUCAGUGUACAAGUGUACAUAGAAUGCAUGCAUUACUGUACAGAUACAUACAUACACAUUAUUUGCACACUUAUCAACGCAUAAGGGUUCAUUUACGUACGCAUAUGAGUGUAUAUAUAUACAUUUAUAAAUGUAUAUAACUGAUCGCAAGCAAGUGUAUACAUACAUGCAUAAAAUAUCGUAUAUAUACAUGUCAGUUCAUACACAACAUGCAUAUAUGUGUAAUAUGUAUAUAUAUAUAUGUGUAUAUGUAAAUAUGUGUACAUAUAUGCAAAAACCUGUAUAGACUGGUCAUAAGUGUAUUUAUAGUCGUAUACACUUGCUAUCAGUUAUAUAUGCGCACGCACAUGCACCUUUACGCAUUGGUAACUUUAUAUACACAUUUCUAUAUUUAGUGAUAUAUAUUUCCAAAUAGACACUUUUAUCAAUGUAUACAGUUAUUAACGUAUAUGUACAUUGAUAUGUAUAUACUACAUUCAUAUGCAUUUGUAUAAAGUGUUUAUAUAUACAUUAAUGUAUAAGACCAUGACUUAUUAUCAGUGAUAUAUAGAGUUGUUAGCACAUUUUGUGUACCUAUUGGUGUAUAGCAAUAUAUACCAUUGUUAUCAAUAUAUAUAUAUAUAUANNNNNNNNNNNNNNNNNNNNNNNNNNNNNNNNNNNNNNNNNNNNNNNNNNNNNNNNNNNNNNNNNNNNNNNNNNNNNNNNNNNNNNNNNNNNNNNNNNNNNNNNNNNNNNNNNNNNNNNNNNNNNNNNNNNNNNNNNNNNNNNNNNNNNNNNNNNNNNNNNNNNNNNNNNNNNNNNNNNNNNNNNNNNNNNNNNNNNNNNNNNNNNNNNNNNNNCAUACAUAUACAUAUAAUACACACACACACAUAGAUACACAUAUAUAUAUAUGUACUACACAGAUAUAUAUAUAUAUAUACUACACAUAUGCGUGUUGUAUAUGGACUGAUGUGUGUAUAUGUAUGAUAUGUUUGUUGUAAUAACUGUAUCAUUGAAAAUAAGUAUAGACAUAAUCUUAUAAUUUAGUGUUUAUAUAACACUUUAUACAAAUGCAUAUGACUGUGCGUUGAUAUGUACAUCUACGCUAAUAAUUGUAUAAAUAUGUACAUAUAUGUUAAUAACUGUAUAAACUUAUCUAGAAAUGUAUGUAUGAACUUAUCAUUGCGUAAGGAUGCACAUGCGUACGCAUAUCGACGUAUAUAUAACUGAUAGCAAGUGUAAACACACGUAUAAACAUCAUUAUACAUAAAUCAGUGUACAUAUACACAUUAAUAGCUGUAUAAACAUCAUUAGUGUAUCUAUAUAUGGUCAUAUAUGUCAAUGUAUAUAUAAAUGUAUAUAUUAGUGCAUUAUAGAGAUACAGUUCUGUACUUUACACACACACAUGAAUAUAUUUUUUAAACACUAAUAACUGUAUAUAUAGCGGAUAAAACGUGUCUAUAUGGUCGUAUUUAUCAAUCAGUUUAUAUAGAAAUGUACGUAUGCACUAUCAGUGCAUAAGGGUGCAUGUGUGUGUGCAUAUCAGUGUAUAUGUAACUGAUAGUAAGUUUAUACGUACACACAUAAACAUAUCAGUAUAUAUGUAUCUUAUAUAUAUAUGCUAUAUAUAUCUAUAUAAACUACUAAUAAAUGUCUUUAUGGUCAUAUAUAUUAAUGUAGAUAGAAUGCAUGUAUUAGUGUACACAUACAAGACAUUAGUUAUCUGCUAUAUAUAGAGGGUUAUUAGUGUGUAAAAAAUACAUUGAUGUGUGUGUGAUGUCUGUUUAUAUACGAUGUGUAUAUACUGAUAUGUAUGUAUAAAGUGCAUAAUUGUCUAUAUACAGUGCACUAAUAUAUACAUUUUUAUGGAUAUUUAUGUAUAUGGCUAUAUAUACACUUACUAUCAUUUUAUACAGUUAUUAACGUAUAUGUACACUGAUUUAUAUACUACUCACACAUAUUCAGACUCAAACUCACACACACACACACAUACACGCUCACUCACACACACACACACUCUCACUCUCACUCACUCACUCACGCACACACACUCACACGCACACUCGCACUCGUAGUCGCACUCACACUCACACUCACACUCACAGAUAUAUAUACUACACAUAUAUGCGUAUUGUGUAUGGAUUGAUGUGUGCAUAUAUACGAUAUGUAUAUAUUGAUAUGUUUGUGCUUGUAUGUAUACUUUUGCUUGCAGUUUUUGUAUAAACUGGUAUAUGUACACUGAUAUUUAUAUAUGCACACUCAUAUGUACGUGUAUAAAGGGUUUAUAUAUACACUAAUGUAUAAGACCAUGUAUUAUUAUUAUCAGUGAUAUGUACAAUUAUUAGAACAAUUUGUGUACGUAUGGAUGUAUAGCAAUAUAUAUCAUUAUUUUUAGUGUAUAUACAGCUAUUUAUGUGUAAAAAAUACAUUGAUAUGUGUGUGUGUGAUGUUUGUAUAUAUUCGAUGUGUGUAUACUGAUAUGUGUAUGUGUAAAGUGCAUAACUGUAUCUAUACAAUGCGCUAAAAUAUAUAUUUCUGUAUAUAUUGAUGUAUCAGUUCAUACAGUUAUUAACGUAUAUGUACAUUAAUUUAUAUACUACACACAUACUCACUCACACUUACACUCACACUCACCACUCACACUCAUACACACACACAUACACACACACUCACACUCACACUCACACUUACACUCGUACGCACUCACAGAUAUAUAUACUACACAUGUUUACGUGUUGUGUAUGGACUGUAUGUGCAUAUAUACAAUGUGUUUAUACUGAUAUGUUUAUGCGAGUAUAUAUACAAUUGCUUGCUAUCAGUUUUAUACAAUUAUCAAUGUAUAUAUACACAAAUAUGCACAUGCACAUGCACCGUUAUGCGUUGAUAAGUGCAUAUAUAUUGUGUAUGUGUAUAUUAAUACAUGCAUUCUAUAUAUAUUAUUAAUAGUUUAUAUAUAUAUAUAUAUAUAUAUGCAGUGUGUCUAUAUAAGAUAUGCAUGUACUUAUAUGUUUAUUAUGUAUACACUUGCUAUCUAUAAACACUGAUAUGUGCAUGCACAUGCACCUUUACGCAUUGAUAUUGCGUACAUACAUUCUAUAUAUAUUGAUAUAUAUUACUAUAUAGACACUUAUUAUCAGUCUAUAUAGUUAUUAGCGAAUAUUAUCAGUUUAUACAGUUUAUGCCUUUAUUGGCGUAUACGUACACUGAUUUUUAUACUACACACAUGCACGCACUCACACUCACGCUCACGCUCACACUCACGCUCUUGCUCACGCUCACGCUCACGCUCACGCUCACGCUCACGCUCACACUCACACACACACACAUUCGCACUCACACAUACACUCACACUCACACUCAUUCACAAUCACACUGACACUCACAAGUAUAUGUACUAUCACCUUUAAUCUGAUAUGCCUCGCGAAAUUCCAUAUUACUUUGUAUAAAAUUAGGCAUAAGAAUGGGUUUCUUCUCUUGAUGAAUUGGGUAGGCUAAAUACCCAAUUGUGAUAAUCCAUGUUAAUUUUUUAUCUUAUUUGUGCUAUUUUUUAUUAUUAUUGUUGAGAUUCAUCUUCAUCUAGUUUUCUUGUUAAUCAACAAGCCUGAAAGCAACUAUUAUCUAGGCGGAUCUCCUUUCGUCAUUCGAUAUUUGAGAUCUUGAUCUUGCUAGCUUGAUUUGCUUAAUGGUUCUUUCUUCUCUAGUGUAGUACUGCUCUUGCUUCUUUCAUGCAAAUAAGGAGUUUUUUUUUUUAUGAGCUUUACUUGUAGUUUGCAAUUUUAUUAUAUAAUUUUUUCUUAACACACACACUCUUGCUUCUUUCAUGCAAAUUUGGAUUGAAUUUUCUGAAUCUUUACUUGUGGCUUACAAUUUUAUUAUGUAUAAAAAUGGCCAUAUAUACAUUUAUUUUCAAUUUAUACAUGUACUAACGUAUAUGUACACUGAUCUAUAUACAUUGAUGUAAAUGGCCAUAUAUACACUUAUUUUCAAUUUAUACAUGUAUUAACGUAUAUGUACAUUGAUCUAUAUACAUUGAUGUAAAUGACUAUAUAAACACUUAUUUUCACUUUAUACAUGUAUUAACGUAUAUGUACACUAAUUUAUAUACUACACACACACUUACACUCACACUCACAAUCACAAACAUAAACACAAACACAGUCACAAACAAAUACACUAAUAUGCUCUCGUACAUGCACCUUUACGCUUUGAUAGCGCAUAUAGACACUUUUUCUCAGUUUUUACAGUUAUUAGCGUAUAUGUACAUCGAUAUGUAUAUGAAUGCACAGGUGGCUGUUGCAGCCAGAAAGGUGAAUUAACCUAUCCCCCUUGCUAAUUUUUUAUUAUUUUCCUCUCAAUUCUUUCUAUUCGAAUCAUUAUCUUCCCUUUGAAUGACUUUUCCUUGCAUAUACAAUUUUUCAAAUUGUGAUAAAAUUGGGCAUUAAAGCUGGAGAUUAUUUCAUCUAGCCAGUAUUUCAAAAAGCGCUAGGUGGUUCCUAGGCUGCCUGGGGAGUCCAGGACGCCCAGCGCCUAGGAGGGGGCGCCCAGAACCUAGGCGGCCCAGUCAAAUCCAACAAGGAUGCCCAGUCAAAGAUGCUUUUAAGGACUCAAAACUUAAAUCUAAUAUCAAUGGGUGAUGUUUUGAUCAAUUUUUGUCAACUUAAAAAAAUAAGAAAUUUCCACCUCUGGACGGGCACCCGCUUAGGUGGGUUCCAUAUCGCCUAAGUGGGGAGCAGGCCUUGGGCUGAGCGUUGGGUGCCUGCCUAGGCGCUAAGCGGUCCGCUUUUUGAAUCACUGCUUCUGGCUAUCACCUAUAAUCAGAUAUGCUGAGGCGUAAUUCCAUACUACUAUGUGUAGAAUUAGGCAUAAGAAUAGUUUCUUCUCUUGAUGAGUUGGGUAUGCUAAAUACCCAAUUGUGAUAAUCCAUCUAAUUUUUUUUAUCUUAUUUGUGCUUGUUCUUAUUAUUAUUGAUGAGCUUCAUCUUCAUCGAGUUUGCUUGUAAUCAACAAGCAUGAAAGAAACUUAUCAUCGACACGGAUCUCUUUACCUUGUAGAUACUUAUUAGUAGUUUAUAUAUAAUAUAUACAGUAUGUAUAUAUACGAUAUGUAUAUAUUGAUAUGUUUAUGCGUGUAUAUAUAAACUUGCUAGCAGUUAUAUGUACACUGAUAUAUGCAUGCAGAUACACCUUUUCGCGUUGAUAGUUUACAGAUAUAUUUCUAUUUACAUUGAUAUAUAUGACCAUAUAGACACGUAUUAUCACUUUAUGCAGUUAGUAGCGUAUAUGUACACUGAUAUGUCAUAUGUCUAUAUAUAAAUAGGUUAGAUAUACACUAAUGUAUAAGACCAUUUAUUAUAUGGUCCGUGAUGCAUGACUCUAAAAUGCCUAUAACUAGGUCCACAACAUAUGACCUAAAGCAUCAUCACAUACUUCAUGUAUGACUAUAAACUACAGUGCUCCUUAGAGUCUUAUGACUCCAAGUAUUGUCCACCGUACGCAUUUUAAGGAUGUGGAAGGGUUUCAUAUAGUCCUUCCUGUAUGACUAUAAACGACAGUACUCCUUAGAGUCUUAUGACCAAGCAUUAGCUACCCAUACCUUUUAUAUGGGUGUGGAAGGCUUUUAUAUACAGUCCUUUCUAUAUCCCUAUAAACUAUAGAAAAUCUUAGUGUCUUACGACACCAAGCAUCGACUUACUCUUUUGUCGUAGGGAAGGCUUCAACACAACUCUCUCCCUAUUCCUUUCCAGAGCACUAAUUGGGGUGUAUUUUUUUUAAAUAUGAGGACGCUGCGAAAAUACCUUUGAAUUUCAUAGGGCAAUGGACGCUACCAAACCAAGAGAUAGGAUGCUUGAAAAAAAACUAUAUAUGUGUAUUUGCGAUGUCGAAGGAAAGAAAAGCAUAAGCAAGUUUAUACAUGCCACCAAGAGUUAAAAUAUAUACACAAAACCACAAAGCCGUUUGUCUUCUCAAAAGAAAAAGAAAAUAAAAAGUAGAGGAAAAGUGCAUCAAGCACCCUUAAAGCACCUAUGCCAGCACCUUUUCCUCCAUUUGCUUUCUAGAAGUCCCAUGGUUUUCCUUUGCUUCGUUAAGACUAUUUAAGGAUUCCUUGAAAUUUUUGGCGACAUUAUUCGCACGCUGCACAACUGUGAGUCAUUAAGAUUAACCAUGUAAGCCUCCUGGUCAUGGAGCUCCCUCUUCUGAGCCUCAAGAAAGGUUUUUGCCCAUGCAAUAUUCUCCAACAUAAUCUGUUGGUGAACCUGCGCCGUUACAGAUUGAGCCUUAAGUUCUUCAACCCUAGCUUUAACUACUUAAAAGUCUUAAUCAGCUUCUAGGAUAUCACAUCGAUGAUUUUCAACUGCCACUUCCCCUGAGGAGAUGACGUCAGGGAACACAGUAACCAAAGCCUCUUGAGCGAAAGCAACUUCCUUAGGCAUCUUGAACAAUCUUGUUCAUCGGUCACGAAUACUCGAACAAUUCUCGAAUACUUCAUCGUGAAUUGAACCAAGGCCUCUGGAAAAGCAGGGACAAUGACCAAAUCCGUUUCAGGGUUAAUGGCCUGCACCUCAGGAACAUUGACCUCGACCAAUGGAGGAGGAACAACAUCAGUCUCAUUGGAAUCGGGAGCAUUGGCUGUAGAAAUGUUGGCCUCGGCUAUUAAAAGAGGUUGGGCAUUGACUUCACUUGGCUCAGUAGAGGGAGGAGUAGCAACCAAGACUUCUGCUUCAGUGAUAAGAAUCUCAGCAGAAAUAGUAGAUGGUGUCUCGACACCAAUGCUGGUAAGCAUGGGCUCAGGAGUAUCCUCCGGGGGAAUGAACAAAGAAGUCCUUGUAGAAAGCCUAAAAGUUAGAAAUGAAAAUAGUCAUGUAAAGAAGUAUUGCAGCACGAUGGUUCAAUCAAAUACCUGAGGAGCUGGCUUCGUCCAUGCGAAGUAUAUAAAUUGGGAAUGGCAGACUUACAUAAGAAGGAGAGCUCAGGUUGUGGAGGUUGGAUGAAAGCAAAAUAUUUGUUAUUGCCACAAUACUGACAGACACGUCAACCUGAGACAAGCCUUCUCUAUAACGCUGGGGAGAAACACCACUAUUAGACAUCAUGAUCAUAAGGCAUGGGGAUAUCCUCAACCAUAUGGGCCAUUCCUAUGAUUAUUGCCACAAUACUGACAGACACUUCCACCUGAGACAAGCCUUCUCUAUAACGCUGGGGAGAAACACCACUAUUAGACAUCAUGAUCAUACGGCAUAGGGAUAUCCCCAACCAUAGGGGCCAUUCCUUUGAUUUUCCUUAACUACUCCUUAGUGGGAGGCUCGAUCUUUGUAAUACCCAUGUGGCUCUCACUUGGGGCAUGGCUGAAAGAAGAACCUUCAUCAUGCUUGGGCAAGCCAGGAAUACCUUUUAGCGCAUCUGUUAUUUCUUCGUCACUAUCAAAAGAAGUUGCUUGCUUGGUUCAUCAAAGACAAAGAAAAUCCGUCUCCUUGUGGUUCUGUCCCAUGAACUGGAGAAGAUGGUGCCAUAGGAGAUGGAGAAUGGGUGUCCAGCUCAAUCGUCUCAAUCCUCUUCUUCUUAGCUAUGCUUUUUUAGCAUAGGAAAGGAGAAGGACUCAACUUCUUUGGUGGUAUAUCCUUCUUACUCCUCUUCGGAGGAAUGGACAUUGGAUCACUGACUGCAUGAACAUGAGCCUUUGAGAUGUUCGUUAAUUGAGAGCUCCGUGUUCUACCCUCAGAAACCAAUUUGGUAGCUAGUUCUUUGAGAGAUGACUCUGAAGGCGAGAUGCUACUUAAUUUCUUUUUCCCUUACCCUUUGGAUCGGCUUCAUGAUGUUCCGAUUUGAUACCUGGAGCAUUUGAUUCCUUGUAAGGAACCUUUGAAGCUGAAGGACUUUGAGCCUUCCUUUACCUUUAGCCGGUGGCUCAGUCUCUGGAUGUGCAGAACUUAUGGCUAGGUUCUUCGGCUCUCUUUCUUAAAGGAGACGGAGUCCUAGCUUUUCUUUUAACUUUGGAUUUUCCUUUGGGAGUAGAAACUUUAGGAUGUUUAAUGGAUUUGGCAUGCCUGGGGUCAAGCACCGUUUUGUUGUUUCAAACGAGAGGGUGUGAAAUCUCUCUUUGAACCCCUAGCUAGUUGGCAAACAAUUUGGCUAAGUGAUGAUAGAAGGAAUCCCUGCCUUCAUCCAUUUGUUCCACUAUGGUGUUCCAGUCAAAAGGAAAACUCAUUCCACUGUCCAGUAGCUUGAGCCAUCAGCGAUGUGACUCUUAAAAUUGGUUACUAUCUUCCCAUCAAGCCGAAACAUGGGCAUGUUCUGCACCGAUUGAACAUAAUGGCCUCUUUGUGACCCGUGGUACCAAUAUUUUCCAUAAUGGGGAACAAUGAACUUGCACACAUGGUUAAUCGUGGUGCAAGAAUCCCACACAGUCUUCACACUAUUCUAGUGCCAAUUUCCUUGUAAAUGAUAAGGGACAGUGCUAGUUCAUCCUCUGCUGCCAUAUGCAUUGGUGAGGACUGUAUAAUUCGAUCAUCUUCUUGAUGCCAACUCGGUGGGAGUGUGGCACCAUGAACACUUUGGAGAUACAUUAUCUCCCGAUUGCUGGUUGGGUCAUUGUCAACCUGAAAUCCAUACUCGUCUUUGAAAAGACGGUCAGUUGGGCCCCCAAUGGGAAAGGGCUUGCCCUGAAAAAAAGUUUCACCUUGGAAAAGCUUCCUCGCAUUAUUAUCGGAUUGGAAAACAACCUUGUGUCCCAACAAGUGCAGCAAAAAUUGGAAGGUACUGCAAUCGAUGUCGCUUGCUAGAUGAUAGGUGCUUGGAAGUAGGCACCCAGCCACCUAUAAACAUAAUGGAGAGCGAAAAACCAUGCAGGAAUGUCCCAAACUCUUUGAAGUGUUAGUCGCCACAUUGAGCCCAUUAUAGAUACUGCAUAAGACGGGUUGGGCUUAUGGCCUCGGCCAAAUCACAAGCCAUAUAAAGGUACUCGGUCUUAAUUUCAUGACCCAAUAUAGGACGUCAAGUAGAUGGUAUCAAUCAGGUCAGUGGGACGGGGAGGCAUCUCUACCUUAAGGACUGGGGGCUUGUUACUUGAAGUUAAAAUAGGGUUGCCUGGUUCCCCUAUAGCCCUGUCUGAAUCGAAGAAAUGGGUGAUCCACACUUGGAAGCUAACUUUAGGGCCUCCUUAAAGAGAUGCCAGCUUCCGAAACUCCUUGAAUGGCCUUCUCAAGGCUGUUGGCUUUCGAAGGCCGGGAUAAACUUUAUCCUCAAGUAUGAUGUCAUUAUCUAGGUUAAACUCCUCAUAACGAUCUCCAAGAAGGGAAAGAUCGUCAAUGAAAUGAAGAUCCAAGAGAGACAUGACGGCCUCCCCAUGGUCAAAGAAGUUGGUUUUUUUUGCGCAACACCAGGUCUCCAAGUAUGCCCUCACCACGUUAGUGUAACGAUCAUAUGUCUAGGUCAAACAUUCGCAGGCGCCUAAGAGUUCUGUGCUUAUGAGAUCAUUUUAGAAGCUGCUCUCUCCCUCACAUCUAAACUUUAGGGAUCCUGUCGGACAGUACGCUUGGCAAUUUGAUGUGCAAGUAUAGGAAAUAUUCUAUUUCCAACGACAAUUUUAUGCGCAUAAUGGAGAAGGAGGCUUUAUGGAGGAAGACCCCGAUGAUAAUCCUUGCUAAACUUGCCAAGGCCAAGAGGCUCGAUCAAAUAAUUGAUGGAAAGGGGCCAUCUUAGAUAUUCAUUGACAUUGCCGUCAGCUUGGCAUACGGGUCUAUGACGAGCUAAUUCAACCCCGGUGCACUUUUCUCACCAAUCCUCUACGCCUUCAGGAAUUUCUUGGGACACAUGACAACUAAAAUAGGAGAAAAGAGUUUCAUUUAAUCGGAAAUUAUCUGCAUAUCCUUCAUAUUGGUCUAAGGCUCUAAUCAACUACCGAUGCCUGUCAUGGCUUAAGUCGAAAGUCUGACCUUAUAUUUCUCAUAUAUUGGGUUAAGACUUUGACCGAUCAUUGAUGUUUGUCACAGUGACACUCACACACACACACACACGCUCACACACAUAUACUCACACUCACAUUCACACGCACACACACUCACACUCACACUCACACUCACACUCACACUCACAGAUACAUAAACUAUCACCUCUAUCUGACAAGUCUAGACAAAAUUCCAUAUUACUAUGUAUAGAAUUAGGCACAAGAUUGUGUUUCUUCUCUUGAUGAGUUUGGGUAUGCUGAAUACCCAACUGUGAUAGUCCAUGUAAUUUUUUUUCUUAUUUGUACUUGUUUUUAUUAAUAUUGAUGAGCUUCAUUUUCAUCGAGUUUUCUUGUAAAUCAACAAGCAUGAAAGCAACUUAUCAUCGAGCCGGAUCUCUUUACGUUAUUUGAUAUUUGAGAUCUUGAUCUUGCAAGCUUGAUUUGCUUAAUGGUUCUUUCUUCUCUAGUUUAUUUCUGCUUGUAGUUUGCAAUUUUAUUAAGUAACUUUUUCUUAACACACACACUCUCGCUUCUUUCAUGCAAAUAUAGAGUGAAUUUUCUGGGGCUUUACUUGUGAUUUUCUGUUUUAUUAAGUAACUUUUUCUUAACACACACACUCUUGCUUCUUUCAUGCAAAUAUGGAGUGAAUUUUCUGGAGCUUUACUUGUGGUUUGCAAUUUUAUUAUGCAACUUUUUCUUAACACACACACACACACUUGCACACCAAACACACACUCACACUCAUACUCACACUCACGCUAAUGCAUAAGGAUGGGUUUAUAUAUACACUAAUGUAUAAGACCAUGUAUAUACUUUUUAUCAAUGAUAUAUACAAUUAUUAGCUCAAUUUGUGUACGUAUUUAUGUAUAGCAAUAUAUACCACCGUUUUCCGAGUGUAUAUAUAUAUACUGAUGCAUAUAACCAUACAAUACAUUAGUUAUCCGCUAUUUAUACAAUUAGUGUGUAAAACUACAUUUAUAUGUGUGUGUGUGUGAUGUUUAUACGAUGUGUAUAUACGGAUUUGUGUAUAUGUAAAGUACAUAAUUGUAUAUAUAUGGUGCAUUAAUAUAUACAUUUCUAUAUAUAUUGAUGUAUAUGACUAUAUAUACACUUAUUAUCGGUUUUUACAUUUAUUAACGCAUAUGUACAUUGAUUUAUAUACUACACACACACACAUGCACUCACACUCAUGCAUUCACACUCACACUCCCACUCACACUCACACUCACACUCUCACUCACACUCACACACUCAUACUCACACUCACACUCACACUCACACUCACAUACUCACAUCACACUCACACUCACACUCACACGCACAUAUACGCACACACACACACACACUCGCACUCACACUCACACUCACACUCACACUCACACUCACACUCACUCACACUAACACUCACGGUUAUAUAUAGUAUCACCUCUAAUCUGAUAAGCUUAUGCAAAAUUCCAUUAUUCUUUGUGUAGAAUUAGACAUAAGAAUGGGUAUGCUAAAUUCCCAAUUGUGAUAGUCGAUGUUAAUUUUUUUUCUUAUGUGUACUUGUUCUUUUUAAUAUUGAUGAGCUUCAUCUUCAUUGAGUUUUCUUGUAGAUCAACAAGCAUGAAAGCGACUUACGCAGAUCUGUUUACGUUAUUCGAUAUUUGAGAUCUUGAUCUAGCAAGCUUGAUUUUCUGAAUAGUUCUUUCUUUUCUAGUAUAGUGCUGCUUUCUUCUUUCAUGCAAAUACAGAGUGAAUUUUUUGGUGCUUUACUUGUGGUUUGCAAUUUUAUUAAGUAACUUUUUCUUAACACACAACUCUCUUCUUUUAUAACUUUUUCUAAACACACACACACACACACCACACACACACACACCACACACACACACUCACACUCACACUCGCACUAAUGUAUAAGUAUGGGUUUGUAUAUACACUACUGUAUAAGACCCUGUAUAUAUACCUAUUAUCAGUGAUAUAUACAAUUUCUUUUCUUGAUGAAUUGGGUAUGCUAAAUUCCCAAUUGUGAUAGUCAAUGUUAAUUUUUUUUCUUAUGUGUACUUGUUCUUAUUAAUAUUGAUGAGCUUCAUCUUCAUCAAGUUUUCUUGUAAAUUAACAAGCAUGAAAGCAACUUAUCAUCGAGGCGGAUCUCUUUACGUUAUUCGAUAUUUUAGAUCUUGAUCUUGAUCUUGCAUGGUUGAUUUCCUUAAUGAUUAUUUCUUCUCUAGUAUGGUAUUGCUCUUUCUUCUUUCAUGCAAAUACGGAAUGAAUUUUAUAGAGCUUUAUUUGUGGUUUGCAAUUUUAUUAAGUAAUGUUUUUUUAACACACAUAAUCUCUUGCUUCUUUCAUUCAACUAUGGAGUGAAUUUUUUGGAGCUUUACUUGUGGUUUACAAUUUUAUUUACUUUUUCUUAAGACACGCAGCCCGCACUCACACUCACACUCACACUCACACUCACACUCACACUCACACUCCCACUAAUGUAUAAGAAUGGGUUUGUAUAUACGCUUCUGUAUAAGACCAUGUAUAUACAUAUUAUCAAUGAUAUCUACAGUUAUUAGCUCAAUUUGUGUAUGUAUUGAUGUAUAGCAGUACAUACCAUUGUUUUCAGAGUAUAUAUAUAUACUGAUGCAUAUAACCAUACAAUACAUUAGUUAUUAGCUAUAUAUACCGUUACUAGUGUGUAAAAAUACAUUGAUACUGUGUGUGUGUGUGAUGUCUGUAUAUAUACGAUGUGUAUACACGUAUUUGUGUGUCUGUGUAAAGUGUAUAACAGUAAAUUUUUAGUGCAUUACUAUAUACAUUUCUAUAUACAUUGAUGUAUACACUUAUUAUUAGUUUAUACAUUUAUUAAUGUAUAAUGUACACUGAUUUACACACACACACAUGCAUUCAUACUCACACUCACGCUCACACUCACACUUACACUCGCACUCACACACACUCACACUCACACUCACACUCACACUUACACUCACACUCACACUCAUACACACAUACACACACUCACAUUCACACUGAUAUCGUACACACAUGCACCUUUACGCAUUAAUAGUGCAUACAUACAUUUCUAUAUACACUGAUAUGUAGGACCAUAUAGAUACUUAUUAUCAGUUUAUACAGUUAUUAGUGUAUAUGUACAUUGAAAUGUACGUACAUACACUCAUAUACGUAUGUAUAAAGGGUUUAUAUUUACACUAAUGUAUUAGACCAUGUGUAUACUUAUUAUCAGUGAUAUAUACAGUUAUUAGCUCAAUUUGUAUAUAUAUUGCUGUAUAGCAAUAUAUACCAUUGUUUUCGGAGUAUAUAUAUACUGAUGUAUAUAACUAUAUAAUACAUUACUUAUUUGCUAUAUAUACAAAUUCUAGGGUGUAAAAAUACAUUGAUAUGUGUGUGUGUGUGUGAUGUCUAUAUCUAUACGAUGUGUAUAUACGGAUUUCUGUGUAUGUGUAAAGUGCAUUACUGUAUAUAUAGAAUGCAUUAAUAUAUACAUUUCUAUAUGCAUUGAUGUAUAUGACCAUCUAUAUACUUAUUAUCAGUUUAUACCUUUAUUAACGUAUAUGUACUCUGAUUUAUAUAUUACACACAUACACACGCUCUCAUACUCACACUCACACUCACACUCGCACUCACACACACUCACACUCGCACUCACACACACUCACACUCGCAUUCGCACUCACACUCACACUCACACUCCUCGCACUCACACUCACACUCAUGCUCACGCUCACACUCACACUCAUACUCACGCUCACGCUCACACUCACACUCACACUCACACUCAUGCAUAAUCACAAUGACACUCAUAAAUAUAUAUACUAUCAUCUCUAAUCUGAUAUGCCUCGACGAAAUUCCAUAUUAUUUUGUAUAGAAUUAAGCAUAUGAAUGGGGUUUUUCUCUUGAUGAAUUGGGUAUGCUAAAUACGCAAUUGUGAUAAUUCAUGUUAAUUUUUAAUCUUAUUUGUACUUGUUGUUAUUAUUAUUGAUGAGCUUCAUCUUCAUCGAGUUUUCUUGUAAAUCCACAAGCCUGAUGCAUCUUAUCAUCAAGGCGGAUCUCCUUACGUUAUUCGAUAUUUGAUAUGUUCAUCUUGCUAGCUUGAUUUGCUUAAUGGUUCUUUCUUCUCUAGUAUAGUACUGCUCUUGCUUCUUUCUUGCAAAUAUGGGGUGAAUGUUCUGAUGGUUUACUUGUGGUUUGCAAUUUUAUUACGUAACUUUUUCUUAACACACACACAUAUGCACACCAAAUACACACACAUAUCCUCACACUCACAUUAGGGUAUUUGACCAUGCAUGUACUAAUUGUCAGCGAUAUAUACCGUUAUUAGCUCAAUUUGCGUAUGUAUUGAUGUAUAACAAUAUAUACCAUUGUUUUCAGAGUGUAUAUAUAUAUACUGAUGCAUAUAACUAUACAAUACAUUAGUUAUUCAAUAUGUAUACAGUUACUAAUGUGUAAAAAUACAUUGAGAUGUGUGUGUGUGUGUGAUGUUUGUAUAUAUACGAUGUGUAUGUACGGAUUUGUGUGUAUUUGUAAAGUGCAUAAUUGUUUAUAUACAGUGCAUUAAUAUAUACAUUUCUUUAUAUAUUAAUGUAUAUGACGAUAUAUAAACUUAUUAUCAGUUUAUACAUUUAUUAACGUAUAUGUACACUGAUUUAUAUACUACACACACGCACUCACACUCACACUCACGCACACGCAGUCACACUCACACUCACACUCACGUAUAUGCACUCACACUCACACGCAUACUCACACAUAUACACACGCACUCACACACACACACUCACACUCACACUCACACUCACACUCGCACUUGCACUCUCACUCACACUCAAACUCACACACACUCACACUCACACUCACACUCGCAGAUAUAUAUACUAUCACUUCUAAUCUGAUAAGCCUAGGAAAAAUUCCAUAUUACUUUGUAUAGAAUUAGGCAUAAGAAUGGGUAUCUUCUCUUGAUGAAUUGGGUAUGCUAAAUACCCAAUUGUGAUAGACCAUUUAAACUUUUUUUCUUAUUUGUACUUGUUUUUAUUAAUAUUGAUGAGCUUGAUCUUCAUCGAGUUUUCUUUUAAGUCAACAAGCAAGAAAGCAACUUAACAUCAAGGUGGAUCUCUUUACGUUAUUCGAUAUUUGAGAUCUUGAUCUUGCAAGCUUGAUUUGCUUAAUGGUUCUUUCUUCUCAUGUAUUAGUACUGCUCUUUCUUCUUUUAUGCAAAUACAGAGUGAUAUUUCUGGAGCUUUAGUUGUGGUUUGCAAUUUUAUUAAGUAACUUUUUCUUAACACACAAACUCUUGCUUCUUUCAUGUAAAUAUGGAGUGAAUUUUUUGAAGCUUUAGUUGUGGCUUGCAAUUUUAUUAAGUAACUUUUUCUUGAAAGCUUGAUUUGCUUAAUGGUUCUUUCUUCUUUAGUAUAGUACUUCUUCUUUCAUGCAAAUAAGAAGUGAAUUUUCUGGAGCUUUACUUGUGGUUUGCAAUUUUAUUAUGUAACUUUUCUUAACACACACACUCAUUCUUCUUUUAUGCAAAUAUGGAGUGAAUGUUUUGGAGCUUUACUUGUUUCCAAUUUCAUUAAGUAACUUUUUCUUAACACACACACACACACACUCACACUCACACUCACACUCACACUCACACUCACAUACUCACAUCACACUCACACUCACACUCACACGUGCAUAUACGCACACACUCACACACACACUCGCACUCACACUCACACUCACACUCACACUCACACUCACACUCACACUCACACUCACACUCACACUCACACUCACACUCACACUCACACUCACACUCACAGUUAUAUAUAGUAUCACCUCUAAUCUGAUAAGCCUAUGCAAAAUUCCAUAUUACUUUGUAUAGAAUUAGACAUAAGAAUCGGUAUGCUAAAUUCCCAAUUGUGAUAGUCAAUGUUAAUUUUUUUUCUUAUGUGUACUUGUUCUUAUUAAUAUUGAUGAGCUUCAUCUUCAUCGAGUUUUCUUGUAAAUCAACAAGCAUGAAAGCAACUUAUCAUCGAGGCGGAUCUCUUUACGUUAUUCGAUAUUUGAGAUCUUGAUCUAGGAAGUUUGAUUUUCUUAAUAGUUCUUUCUCUUCUAGUAGAGUGUUGCUCUUUCUUCUUUCAUGCAAAUACGGAGUGAAUUUUCUAGAGCUUUACUUGUGGUUUGCAAUUUUAUUAAGUAACUUUUUCUUAACACACAACUCUCUUCUAUUAUAACUUUUUUUAACACACACAUACGCACACACACACACCACACACACACACUCACACUCACACUCACACUCGCACUCGCACUAAUGUAUAAGUAUGGGUUUGUAUAUACACUACUGUAUAAGACCAUGUAUAUAUACCUAUUAUCAGUGAUAUAUACAAUUUCUUCUCUUGAUGAAUUGGGUAUGUUAAAUACCCAAUUGUGAUAGUCCAUGUAAAUGUUUUUUCUUAUUUGUACUUGUUUUUAUUAAUAUUGAUGAGCUUCAUCUUCAUCUAGUCUUCUUGUAAAUUAACAAGCAUGAAAGCAACUUAUCAUCGAGGCGGAUCUCUUUCAUUAUUCGAUAUGUAAGAUCUUGAUCUUCAUUUCCUUAAUGGUUAUUUCUUCUCUAGUAGGGUAUUGCUCUUUCUUCUUUCAUGCAAAUACGGAAUGAAUUUUAUAGAGCUUUACUUGUGGUUUGCAAUUUUAUUAAGUAAUGUUUUCUUAACACACAAUCUCUUGCUUCUUUCAUUCAACUAUGGAGUGAAUUUUUUGGAGCUUUACUUGUGGUUUGCAAUUUUAUUUACUUUUUCUUAAGACACACAGCCCACACACACACUCACACUCACACUCCCAUUCCCAUUAAUGUAGAAGAAAGGGUUUGUAUAUACGCUUCUGUAUAAGGCCAUGUAUAUACCUAUUAUCAAUGAUGUGUACAGUUAUUAGCUCAAUUUGUGUAUGUAUUGAUGUAUAACAGUACAUACCAUCGUUUUCAGAGUAUAUAUAUAUAUACUGAUGCAUAUAACCAUACAAUACAUUAGUUAUUAGCUAUAUAUACAGUUACUAGUGUGUAAAAAUACAUUGACAUGUGUGUGUGUGUGAUGUCUGUAUAUAUACGAUGUGUAUACACGUAUUUGUGUAUGUGUAAAGUGCAUAACAGUAAAUUUUCAGUGCAUUACUAUAUAUAUUUCUAUAUACAUUGAUGUAUAUACUUAUUAUCAGUUUAUACAUUUAUUAAUGUAUAAUAUACCAUGAUUUAUAUACUAUACACACACACACAUGCAUUCAUACUCACACUCACACUCACACUCACACUCACACUCACACGUACACACACACACUCUCACUGAUAUCGUACGCACAUGCACCCUUACGCAUUGAUAGCGCAUACAUACAUUUUUAUAUACACUGAUAUGUAUGACCAUGUAGAUACUUAUUAUCAGUUUAUUUAGUUAUUAGUGUAUAUGUGCAUUAAAAUGUAUGUACAUACACUCAUAUGCAUAUGUAUAAAGGGUUUAUAUUUAUACUAAUGUAUUAGACCAUGUGUAUACUUAUUAUCAGUGAUAUCUACAGUUAUUAGCUCAAUUUGUAUAUGUAUUGAUGUAUAGGAAUACAUACCAUUGUUUUCAGAGUAUAGCAAUACAUACCAUCUUUUUCAGAGUACAUAUAUAUACUGAUGUAUACACCUAUAUAAUACAUUACUUAUUUGCUAUAUAUACAAUUUAUAAAGUGUAAAAAUACAUUGAUAUGUGUGUCUGUGAUGUCUAUAUAUAUACGAUGUGUAUAUACGGAUUUCUUUGUAUGUGUAAAGUGCAUAACUGUAUAUAUAGAAUGUAUUAAUAUAUACAUUUCUAUAUACAUUAAUGUAUAUGACUAUCUAUACACUUAUUAUCUGUUUAUACCUUUAUUAACGUAUACGUACUCUGAUUUAUAUAUUACACACACACACACGCUCUCAUACUCACACUCACACUCACACUCACACUCACACUCACACUCAUACAUACUCACACACACACUCGCACUCAUACUCACACUCCUCGCACUCACACUCACACUCACACUCACACUCACACUCAUGCUCACGCUCACACUCACACUCACACUCAUACCCACGCUCACACUCACCCUCACACUCAUGCAUAAUCAUACUGACACUCACAAAUAUACAUACUAUCACCUCUAAUCUGAUAUGCCUCGGCGAAAUUCCAUAUUACUUUGUAUAGAAUUAAGCAUAAGAAUGGGUUUUUUCUCUUGAUGAAUUGGGUAUGCUAAAUACGUAAUUGUGAUAAUUCAUGUUAAUUUUUUAUCUUAUUUGUAUUAUUAUUGAUGCGCUUCAUCUUCAUCGAGUUUGCUUGUAAAUCAACAAGCCUGAUGCAACUUAUCAUCAAGGCGAAUCUCCUUACGUUAUUCGAUAUUUGAUAUCUUCAUUUUGCUAGCUUGAUUAGCUUAAUGGUUCUUUCUUCUCUAAUGUGGUACUGCUCUUGCUUCUUCCAUGCAAAUAUGGUGUGAAUUUUUUGAUGGUUUACUUGUGGUUUGCAAUUUUAUUUUGUAACUUUUUCUUAACUCACACACAUAUGCACACCAAACACACACAUAUACUCACACUCACACUAAGGUAUGUGACCAUGUAUAUACUUAUUAUCAGCGAUAUAUACCGAUAUUAGCUUAAUUUGCGUAUGUGUUGAUGUAUAACAGUAUAUACCAGUGUUUCCAGAGUGUAUAUAUAUAUACUGAUGCAUAUAACCAUACAAUAUAUUAGUUAUUCAAUAUAUAUAUAGUUACUAAUGUGUAGAAAUACAUUGAUAUGUGUAUAUGUGUGUGUGUGACGUGUAUGUACGGAUUUGUGUGUAUAUGUAAAGUGCAUAAUUGUUUAUGUACAAUGCAUUAAUAUAUACAUUUCUAUAUAUAUUGAUGUAUAUGACCAUAUAUAAAGUUAUUAUCAAUUUAUACAUUUAUUAACGUAUAUGUACACUGAUUUAUAUACUACACACACGCACUCACACUCACACUCACACUCAUGCAUACGCACUCGCACGUACACUCACACUUAUACACACGUACUCACACACACACUCACACUCACACUCACACUUGCACUCACAGUCACACUCAGCCUUACACACACUCACACUCACACUCACACUCACACUCACACUCACACUCACACUCACAGAUAUAUAUACUAUCACCUCUAAUCUGAUAAGCCUAGGAAAAAUUCAUUAUUACUCUGUAUAGAAUUAGGCAUAAGAAUGGGUAUCUUCUCUUGAUGAAUUGGGUAUGCUAAAUACCCAAUUGUGAUAGACCAUUUAAAUUUUUUUCUUAUUUGUACUUGUUUUUAUUAAUAUUGAUGAGCUUGAUCUUCAUCGGGUUUUCUUUUAAAUCAACAAGCAAGAUAGCAACUUAACAUCAAGGUGGUUCUCUUUAUGUUAUUCGAUAUUUGAGAUCUUGAUCUUGCAAGCUUGAUUUGCUUAAUGGUUCUUUCUUCUCAUAUAUGGUACUGCUCUUUCUUUUUUUAUGCAAAUAAGGAGUGAAUUUUCUGGAGCUUUAGUUGUGGUUUGCAAUUUUAUUAAGUAACUUUUUCUUAACACACAAACUCUUGCUUCUUUCAUGUAAAUAUGGAGUGAAUAUUUUGGAGCUUUAGUUGUGGUUUGCAAUUUUAUUAAGUAACUUUUUCUUAGCGCACACACACACCACACACAUACUCACACUCACACUCACACUAAUGUAUAAGAAUGGGUUUGUAUAUACACUACUGUAUAAGUCUAAGUAUAUACCUAUUAUCAGUGAUAUAUGCAGUUAUUAGCUCAGUUUGUGUAUGUAUUGAUGUAUAGCAACGUAUACCAAUGUUUUCGGAGUAUAUAUAUAUACUGAUGCAUAUAACCAUAUAAUAAAUCGUUAUGAAUUAUAUAUACAGUUACUAGUAUGUAAAAAUACAUUGAUAUGUGUCUGUGAUGUUUGUAUAUAUACGAUGUAUAUAUACGGAUUUGUGUGUAUUUGUAAAGUGCAUAGCUGUAUAUUUUCAGUGCAUUAUUAUAUGCAUUUCUAUAUACAUUGAUGUACAUGACUAUAUAUAUACUUAUUAUCAGUUUAUACAUUUAUUAAUGUAUAUAUACACUGAUUUAUGUACUACACACAUAUACAUGCACUCACACUUGCACUCACACUCACACUCACACUCACAUACACACACUCACACUCACACUCACGCUUACACUGAUAUGCGCUUGCAUAUGCACACUUAUGCAUUGAUAGUGCAUACAUAAAUUUCUAUAUACACUGAUAUGUAUGACCAUAUAGACACUUAUUAUCAGUUUAUACAGUUAGUAGUGUAUAUGUAUACAUACACUUAUAUGCAUAUAUAUAAAGGGUUUAUAUAUACACUAAUGUAUAAGACCAUGUAUAUACUUAUUAUCGAUGACGUAUACAGUUAUUAGCCUUAUUUGUAUACGUAUUGAUGUAUAGCAAUAUAUACCAUUGUUUUACGUGUAUUUAUAUUUACUGAUGCAUAUAAUCAUACAAUACAUUAGUUAUCUGUUGUAUAUAUAAUUAUUAUGUGUGUGUGUGUGAUGUCUGUAUAUAUACGAUGUGUAUAUACUGAUAUGUGUGUAUGUGUAAAGUGCAUAACUGUAUAUAUACAGUGCAUUAGUAUAUUCAUUUUUAUUUACAUUGAUAUAUAUGACGAUAUAUACAUUAUUUUUAGUUUAUACAGUUAUUAGUAUAAAUGUACAUUGAUUUAUAUACUACACACACACUCACACUCACACUCACGCACAAUCAUACUCCCACCCACACUCUCUCUCACACACACUCACACUCACACUCACACUCACACUCACACUCACACUCACACUCAUAUACACACACACACUCAUAUUCAUACUAGCACUCACACUCACACUCACAUUAACACUCACUCACACACUCACACUUACACAGACUGACACACACACAUUCACACACUCACACGCACACUCACACUCACAGUCACACUCACACUCGCAGGCUCACUCACACAAUCUCACAUACACUCACACACUCACACUCACACUCACACUCACAUUCACAUUCACACACACACACUCACACUCCCACUCCCAGUCACACUCACACUCACCCUCACACAGACACUCACAACUCACACUCACACUCACACUCACACUCACACUCACACUCACACAAACACUAACACUGACACUCACAGAUAUGUAUACUAUACAUGCGUGGUGUGUAUGGAUUGAUGUGUGUAUAUUUACGAUAUGUAUAUGCAUAUCUUUUUGCGUAUAUGUAUACAGUUGCUUGCUAUCAGUUAUAUGCAAUUAUCGAUGUAUAUAUACAUUGAUAUGCGUACGCACAUGUACCCUUACGCGUGGAUAAGUGUAUAUAUAAUGUGUAUGUAUACACUAAUACAUGCAUUCUAUAUACACUGACAUAUUUGACCAUAUUGAUACUUAUUAAUAGUUUAUAUGUAUAUAUGGUGUGCAUAUAAAUGAUAUGUAUUUACUGAUAUGUUUAUGUGUGUAUGUAUAAACCUGCUAUCAGUUAUAUAUGCACUGAUAUGCGACACACAUGUGCACGCUCACUCAUUGAUAGUGCACACAUUCAUUUCUGUGUACACUGAUAUAUAUGACCAUAUAUAACACUUAUUAUCAGUUUAUACACUUAUUAGUGUAUAUGUACAGUGAAAUGUAUAUACGUACAUUCAUAUGCAUAUGUAUAAAGGGUUUAUAUGUACACUUAUGUAAAAGACCAUGUAUAUACUUAUUAUCAGUGAUAUAUACAGUUAUUCGCUCAAUUUGUGUACGAAUUGAUAUAUAGCAAUCUAGACCAUUGUUUUCAGUAUAUAUAUAUAUACUGAUGCAUAUGACCAUAUAAUACAUUAGUUAUCUGCUCUAUGUAUAGUUAUUAGUGUGUAAAAAAUACAUUGAUAUGUGUGUAUGUAUGUGUGUGAUGUCUAUAUAUAUACGAUGUGUAUAUAUUGAUAUGUGUGUAUGUUUAAAGUGCAUAACUGUAUAUAUACAGUGCAUUAAUAUAUACAUUGGUAUAUAUGAUGAUAUAUACAGUAUUUAUCAGUUUAUACAGUUAUUAACAUAUAUGUAUAUACUACACACACACUCGCACUGACACUGACACUGACACUGACACUGACACUGACACUGACACUGACACUGACACUCACACUCACUCACACUCACACUCACACUCACACUCACACUCACACUCACUCACACUCACACUCACACACACUCACACUCACACUCACACUCACACUCACACUCACAUUUAUAUAUACUACACAUAUAUGCAUGGUGUGUAUGGACUGAUGUGUGUAUGUAUAAUACGAUAUGUAUAUACUGAUAUUGUUAUGUGUGUAUGUAUACAAUUGCUUGCUCUCAGUUAUUAUACAAUUAUCAUUAUAUGUAUGCACUGAUAUGCACACGCACAUGCACCUUUACGCGCUAUUAAGUGCAUAUAUACUGUAUACACUAAUACAUGCAUUCUUUAUACACUGAUAUAUAUGACCAUAAGGACAUAUAUUAGCAGUUUAUAUAUAUACAGUGUGUAUAUAUACAAUAUGUAUAUAUUGAUAUGUUUAUGCGUGCAUGUAUAAACUUGCUGUCUGUUAUAUAUAACCAUGGUAUGCGCACACACAUGCACCCUUACUAAUUAAUAGUGCAUAUAUAUAUUUUUAUAUACACCGAUGUUUAUGACCAUACAUACAUUUUUUAUCAGUUUAUACAAUUAUUAGCGUAGAUGUACAUUGAUAUGUAUAUGAAUGCACAGGUGGCAGUUGCAGCCAACAAGGUAAAGGGACAGAUCCCCCUGCCCCGUUCUUUUUGAUUAGUUUUCCUCUCAAUUCGUACCAUUCGAAUCAUUAUCUUCUUUAUGAAUGAGUUUUCCUACCAUAUACAAUUUCCAAAUUGUGAUAAAAUCAGUUUAAAGAAGGAGAUUAUUUCUUCUAGCUAUCACGUCUAAUCAGAUAAGCCUAAGCGAAAUUCCAUAUUACUUUGUAUAGAAUUAGGCAUAAGAAUGGGUUUCUUCUCUUGAUGGAUUGGGUAUGCUAAAAUACCCAAUUGUGAUAGUCUAUCUAAAUUUUUUAUCAUAUAUUUGUACUUGUUUUUAUUAUUGUUGAUGAGCUUCAUCUUCAUUGAGUUUGCUUGUAAUUCAACAAGCAUGAAUGCAACUUAUCAUCGAAGCGGAUCUCUUUAUGUACACUGAUUUAUAUACUACACACACACACUCGCACUCGCACUCGCACUCGCACUCGCACUCGCACUCGCACUCGCACUCGUACUCGCACUCGCACUCGCACUCGCACUCGCACUCGCACUCGCACUCACACUCACAGAUAUAUAUACUACACAUAUAUGCGUGUUGUGUAUAGAUUGAUGUGUGCAUAUAUACGAUAUGUAUAUACUGUUAUGUUUAAGCAUGUAUGUAUACUGUUGCGUGCAGUUUUUGUAUAAACUGAUAUAUGUAGACUGAUAUGUACAUGUGUAAAGGGUUUAUAUAUACACUAAUGUACAUGUGUAAAGGGUUUAUAUAUACACUAAUGUAUAAGACCAGGUAUUAUUCUCAGUGAUAUACACAACUAUUAGAACAAUUUGUGUGCGUAUUGAUGUAUAGCAAUAUAUAUCAUUGUUUUCAGUGUAUAUACAACUAUUAGUGUGUAAAAAAUACAUUGAUAUGUGUGUGUGUGCGUGAUGUUUGUAUAUAUUCGAUGUGUGUAUAUUGAUAUGUGUGUGUGUAAAGUGCAUAACUGUAUCUAUACAAUGCGCUAAUAUAUAUAUUGAUGUAUCAGUUUAUACAGUUAUUAACGUAUAUCUACAUUAAUUUAUAUACUACACACACUCACUCACACUUACACUCACACUCACCACUCACACUCAUACACACAUAGACAAAUACACACUCACACUCACACUCACACUCACACUCACACUCACAGAUAUAUAUACUAUACGUGUUUAUGUGUUGUGUAUGGACUGAUAUGUGAAUAUAUACGAUGUGUUUAUACUGAUAUGUUUAUGCGAGUAUAUAUACAUUUGCUUGCUAUCAAUUAUGUACAAUUAGCAAUGGAUAUAUACACAUAUAUGCACACACACAUGCACCGUUAUGCAUUAAUAAGUGCAUAUAUAUUGUGUAUGUGUAUGCUAAUACAUGCAUUCUAUAUACAUUAAUAUAUAUGAUCAUUGAGACACUUAUUAAUAGCUUUUAUAUAUAUAUAUAUAUACAGUGUGUCUAUAAAAGAUAUGUAUAUACUGAUAUGUUUAUGUAUGUAUACACUUGCUAUCUAUAAACACUGAUAUGCGCACACACAUGCACACUUACGUAUUGAUAAUGCAUACAUACAUUUUUAUAUAUACUGAUAUAUAUAAUUAUAUAAACACUUAUUAUCAGUUCAUACAGUUAUUAGCGAAUGUUAUCAGUUUAUACAGUUUAUGCCUUUAUUGACGUAUACGUACACUGAUUUUUAUACUACUCACACACGCACUCACAUUCACCCUCACACUCACACUCACACUCACACUCACUCACAAUCACACUGAUUCUCACAAAUAUAUAUACUAUCACCUCUAAUCUGAUAUGCCUCGCGAAAUUUUAUAUUACUUUGUAUAGAAUUAGGCAUAAGAAUGGGUUUCUUCUCUUGAUGAAUCGGGUAUGUUAAAUACCCAAUUGUGAUAGUCCAUGUAAAUUUUUUUUCAUUGAGUUUUCUCGUAAAUCAACAACCAUGAAAGCAAGUUAUCAUAGAGGUGGAUCUCUUUACGUUAUUCUAUAUACGAGAUCUUGAUCCUGCAAUCUUGAUUUGCUUAAUGGUUCUUUUUUCUCUAGUAUACUACCGCUCUUUCUUCUUUCAUGCAAAUAUGGAGUAAAAUUUCAGAAGCUUUUCUUGUGGUUUGCAAUUUUAUUAACUUUUUCUUAACACACACAAACUCUUGCUUCUUUGAUGCAAAUAUGAAGUGAAUUUUCUGGAGCUUUACUUGUGGUUUGCAAUUUUAUUAAGUUACUUGUUCUUAACACACACAUACUCUUGCUUCUUUCAUGCAACUAUGGAGUGAAUUUUCUGGAGCAUUACUUUUGGUUUCCAAUUUUAUUAAGUAACUUUUUCUUAACACAGGCACACACACACACCACACACACUCACAAACACACUCACAUACGCACACACUCACACACUCACAUAAGCACACACUCACACACUCUCGCACACACACACACUCACACUCUCACUCAUACACUCGCACACACACUCACACUUGCACUCACACUCACGCUCACACUCACACUCACACUCACACUCACACCCACACCCACAUACACACACACCACACUCACACACACAUACACUCACACUCACACUCACACUCACAUUCACACUCGCACUCACACACCACACUCACACACACUCAUACACACACUCACACUCACACUCACACUCACACUCAUACUCAUACACACACACACUCACUGUCACUCUCACUCUCACUUUCACUCACUCACACUCACAUUCACGCACGCACUCACAUUCACACCCGUUCACACACAAGCUCAUACACUCACACUCACACUCACACUCAUACUCACACUCACUCACACUCACAAUGACACACACACUCACACUCACACACACACACACACACUCAUACUCACACACACAUACACACACUCACACUCACAGACUCACACUCCCACAUUCACACGCUCACACUCACACACACACACACUCAUACUCACACACACACACACUCAUACUCACACUCACACUCACACUCACACUCACAUAGACUCACACUCCCACAUUCACACACUCACACUCACACACUCACACUCACACACACUCACGCACCCUCACACUCAUGCAUACACUCACACUCGUAACUCACACUCACAGUCACAGUCACAGUCACUGUCAUAGUUACACUCACACUCAGAUAUAUACUACACAUAUAUGCGUGUUUUGUAUGGACUGUUGUGUGUAUAUAUACGAGAUACAUAUACUGAUAUGUUUAUGCGUGUAUGUAUACAGUUGCUUGCUAUCAGUUGUAUACAAUUAUCAAUAUAUAUAUAUAUAUAUAUAUACUGAUAUGUGCACAUACAUGCACCCAUACGCGUUGAUAAGUGCGUAUAUAUUGUGUAUGCAUACACUUAUACAUGAAUUCUAUAUACACUGAAAUAUAUGACCAUAUAAACAUAUAUUAACAGUUUAUAUAUAAAUAUAUAUAUACAGUGUGUCUAUAUAUGAUAUGUAUAAACUGAUAUGUUUAUACGUGUAUGUAUAAACUAGCUAUCAGUUAAGUAAAGUACUUAUCUUGCUUCUUUCAUGCAAAAAUGGAGUGAAUUUUUUGAAACUUUACUUGUGGUUUGCAAUUUUAUUAAGAAACUUUUUCUUAAUACACACACACUCUUAACACACACACUCUUUAUUAAGUAACUUUUUUUAACACACACACACUCUUUCUUCUUUCAUGCAAAUAUGGAGUGAAUUUUCUAGAGUAUUACUUGUGGUUUGCAAUUAUAUUAAGUAACUUUUUCUUAACACUCACCACAUACACACACACACUCACACUCACAUCCACAUUCACACUCACUCUCACUCUCACACUCACACUCACACUCACACUCACACUCACACUCACACUCACACUCACACUCACACUCACUCACACACACUCACUCUCACACUCAGACACACACACAUAUACACUCACACUCACACACACUCACAUUCACACGAACACACACUCACCACACACACUAACACUAGUAUUGACACUCACACGCACAUACUCAUACACUCACACACGCUCACUCUCGCACAUUCACGCUCAUGCUCACAUUCACACUCAGAUAUAUAGUACACUUUACGCAUGUUGUGUAUGGACUGAUGUGUGUAUAUAUACUAUGAUGUGUUUAUGCAUGUAUGUAUACAGUUGUUUGCUAUCAGUUAUAUACAAUUAUCAAUGUAUGUAUAUAAUGACACAUGCACGCACAUGCACCCUUACCCAUUGAUAAGUGCAAUGUACUGUAUAUGUUUACACUAAUACAUGCAUACUAUAUACAGAUAUAUAUGACCAUAUAGACAUUUAUUAGCACUUUACAUAUAUAUAUACAUAGUGUGCAUAUAUACGAUAUGUAUAUGGUGAUAUGUUUUUACGUGUAGGUAUAAACUUCCUAUCAGUUAUAUAAACACUGAUAUGCGCCCGCACAUGCACCCUUACGCAUUGAUAGGGCAUACGUACAUUUUUAUAUUCACUGAUAUGUAUGACCCUAUGGACACUUCUUAUCGGUUUAUACAGUUGUUGGUGUUUAUGUACACUGAUAUGUAUAUACUCACUCAUGUGCAUAUCUGUAUUGGGUUUAUAUAUACACUAAUAUAUAAGACCAUAUGUGUACUUAUUAUCAGUGAUAUAUAUAAUUAUUAGCUCAAUUUGUAUACGUAUUGAUGUAUAUCAAUAGAUACCAUUCUUUUCAGAGUAGAUAUAUAUAUACUGAUGCAUAUAACCAUAUAAUACAUUAGUUAUAAGCUAUAUAUACAAUUAUUAGUAUGUAAAAAUACAUUGAUAUGUGUGUGUGUGAUGUCUAUAUGUAUAUGAUGUGUAUAUACAGAUUUGUGUAUGUGUAAAGUGCAUAACUAUAUAUUUACAUUACAUUAAUAUAUACGUUGAUGUAUAUGACUAUAUAUACACUUAUUAUUACUAUAUAUCUUUAUUAACGUAUAUGUACACUGAUUUAUAUACUACACACACUCACAGUCACACUGACUCUCACCCUCACCUUCACACUCACACUCACACUCACACUCACACUCCCUCACUCAUACACACAUACACUCACACUCGCACUCGCACUCUCACUCUCACUCUCACUCUCACUCUCACUCGCACUCACACUGACACUGACACUGACACUUAUAAACACUCGCACUCACACUCACAAAUAUAUAUACUAUCGCUUGUAAUCAGAUAUACAAUUGCGAAAUUCCUUAUUACUUUGUAUAGAAUUAGGCAUAAGAAUGGGUUUCUUCUCUUGAUGAAUUGGGAAUGUUGAUUACCCUAUUGUGAUAGUCCAUGUAAAUUUUUUAUCUUAUUUGUACUUGUUUAUUAUUAUUAUUGAUGAGCUUCAUCUUCAUUGAGUUUUCUUGUAAAUCAAGAAGCACGAAAGCAACUUAUCAUAGAUGCGGAUCUCUUUACGUUAUUCGAUAUUUGAGAUCUUGAUAUUUCAUGUUUGAUUUGCUUGAUGGUUCUUUCUUCUCUAUUAUAGUAUUGCUCUUGCUUCUUUCAUGAAAAUAUAGUGUGAAUUUUCUAGAGCUUUACUUGUGGCUUGCAAUUUUAUUAAGUAACUUUUUCUUAACACGCACACACACACACACACUCACACUCACACUCAGUCUCACACUCACACUCACACUAAUUUAUAGGAAUGGGUUUAUAUAUACGCUAAUGUAUAAGGCCAUGUAUAUACUUAUUAUCAGUGAUAUAUAUAGUUAUCAGCUCUAUAUGUUUAUGUGUUGAUGUAUAUAAGCAUGGAAUACAUUAGUUAUCGGCUACAUGUACAAUUACUAGUGUGUGAAAAAUACAUUGAUGUGUGUGUGACGUCUGUAUAUAUAUACAAUGUGUAUAUAUGGAUUUCUGUGUAUGUGUAAAAGUUCAUAACUGUAUAUAUACAGUGUAUUAAUAUUUACUGUUAUGAAAAUACUGUUAAUGGCACAAAUUAAAGCUCAUAGCAUAAUUUUUUACUGAUAAAUAAGAAGUAGAGAGUGUGACUACAUGACCAAGUAAUCAAUAUUUUAUUGUUGAUUGUGUAAACUAUAAACUUACAGGAGCAAGCAAUUGUACCUAUAGGAUUAGUUCCCCAAACUUAAUCCUUCUGCUCUGUUUCCUCAAGAAAAUGAAAAGCCCUCUUCAAACUAUCCCAAAUCAGGGAGAAAAACCCUUUUCAAACUAUCCCAAAUCAGCUUUCCAUUAUCCUAAAUCAGCAUCCCAUCUUCCUUUUCUCGCUCUAAAAAUCAGUUAAGGCCUCUUCCAUUAGGGUUCUUUCUUUUCUCUCUCUAAAAAUCACUUAUGGCGGCCCCUUCCAUUAGGGUUUGUGAAAACUAUUUUCUUCUUCCCUCUUCUUGCUAUAAACCCUAGUGGCUAUGAGCCGAGCCAUAUUUUCUUCUCUUCCUUUCCUUCGUCGUUCUUCCUUCUUCUCUUUACACAGUAAACAUAGAUGUAAAUCCCAAAUUUAUAUGAACUUUUUUCAUCUAAAGAAAUUUAUAAAACUUUAACCACAGUUAUGGAGUGACCAUAGACACCAUACCAUAAUUAAAUAACUGUCGUGACAAAACAAAAAUCAUGUAUUUAUUUUUUGGUACUUGCUAAGUAGGAGUUAUGUUUAAGUAUUUACUAAAUAAAUUUAUAGUAUAUUUAUUUGUUUUUGCAUGUAAUAAGUAGGUGUGAUGUUUCUUAAAGUAUUUAAUGGGUAGAUUUAUAUGGUACUUUUUUUGGUAUAUGCUAAUUAAUUAUGUAUUUAAUAUUGGAUGAGAGUCACAAGACAUCUAAAUCAAUUGACUUAAUUAUAUUAGUCUAGUAAAGUUUUUAUAGAUGAAUUGGUAAUUGAUGGCUUUGACAAAAUUUUUAUUUUUUAGAAUUUCAAAAUUUCUAAUAUGAUAAAUGUAUCCGAUUUUUUUACUCUGAUUUUUUUAGCCUAAUGCGAUAUAUUAACGAUAUCUUUAUAUGAAGUAUUUUUACCAAUCCGUAUUUUUUAUCCAAUUUUUUCAUCCGAUUUUCAAAAUAAAAACGAUUUAUUUCCGAUAUGUAUAUACUGAUAUGUUUAUGCUUGUAUGUAUAAACUUGCUAUCAGUCAUGUACACACUGAUAUGCGCACACACAUGCACCCUUACGUAUUGACAGUGCAUAUAUACAUUUCUAUAUACACUGAUAUAAAUGACCUUAUAGACGCUUAUUAUCAGCUUAUACAGUUAUUAGUGUAUAUGUACACUGAAAUGUAUAUACGCACACUCAUAUGCAUAUUUAUAAAAGGUUUAUAUAUACACUAAUGUAUAAGACUCAUGUAUGUACUUAUUAUCAGUGAUAUAUACAGUAUUGAGCUCAAUUUGUCUACGUAUUGAUUUAUAACAAUAUAUACCAGUGUGUUCAAUGUAUAUAUAUUUAUACUGAUGCAUAUAACCAAACAAAACAUUAGCUAUUUGCUUUAUAUACAGUUAUUAAUUUGUAAAAAAUACAUUGAUAUGUAUGUGUGAUGUUUGUAUACAUACGAUGUGAAUAUACUGAUAUGCGUGUAUGUGUAUGUGCAAAGUGCAUAACUGUAUAUAUACAAUGUAUCAAUAUAUAGAUUUCUAUACAGAUUGACAUAUAUGACGAUAUAUACAUUACUUAUCAGUUUAUACUGUUAGUA
rnacentral:lncRNA from 1 species